rnacentral:rRNA from 1 species
UCCUCCCUCUGGCGGCGUGCUUAACACAUGCAAGUCGAACGGGUCUGCCCUGUUUUUUGCGGGGUGGGUCAGUGGCGAACGGGUGAGUAACACGUGAGUAACCUGCCCCUCACUUCUGGAUAACCGCUUGAAAGGGUGGCUAAUACGGGGUGUUCUGGCUGUGCCGCAUGGUGUGGCUGGGAAAGAUUCACUUUUGUGGUGUUUUGGUGGGGGAUGGGCUCGCGGCCUAUCAGCUUGUUGGUGGGGUGAUGGCCUGCCAAGGCUUUGACGGGUAGCCGGCCUGGGAGGGUGGGCGGUCACACUGGGACUGGGAUACGGGCCAGACUCCUGCGGGAGGCAGCAGGGGGGGGUAUUGCACAAUGGGCGGAAGCCUGAUGCAGCGACGUCGCGUGAGGGAUGGAGGCCUGCGGGUUGUGAACCUCUUUCGCCGGUGAAGAAGGUCCUGCUCUUUGUGGUGGGGUUGACGGUAGCCGGGUUAUGAAGCGCCGGCUAACUACGUG